rnacentral:rRNA from 1 species
GUCUACGGCCAUGCCACUCUGAACAAGCCCGAUAUCUGAUCUUGGAAGCUAAGCAGGGUCAGGCCUGGUUAGUGCUUGGGUGGGAGACCACCUAUGAAGACUAGGUGCUGUAGGCA